rnacentral:rRNA from 1 species
UACGUAGGGUGCAAGCGUUAUCCGGAUUUACUGGGCGUAAAGCGUCCGUCGGCGUCUCAGCAAGUCUUUUGUUCAAGCCUGGGGCUCAACUCCAGAAAAGCAAGGGAAACUACUGAGAUUGAGUUUGUCUGGGGGAACUAGAAUUCUCGGUGGAGGGGUGAAAUCCGUAGAUAUCGAGAGGAAUACCAGUCGCGAAGGCGGGUUCCUAAAACAAUACUGACGCUCAGGGACGAAAGUCUGGGUAGCAAAAGGG